rnacentral:rRNA from 1 species
CCUACGGGAGGCAGCAGUGGGGAAUAUUGCACAAUGGGGGAAACCCUGAUGCAGCGACGCCGCGUGAGUGAAGAAGUAUUUCGGUAUGUAAAGCUCUAUCAGCAGGGAAGAAAAUGACGGUACCUGAUUAAGAAGCCCCGGCUAACUACGUGCCAGCAUCCGCGGUAAUACGUAGGGGGCAAGCGUUAUCCGGAUUUACUGGGUGGAAAGGGAGCGUAGACGGCAGCACAAGUCUGGAGUGAAAUGCCGGGGCUGAACCCCGGAACUGCUUUGGAAACUGUGCAGCUAGAGUGCAGGAGAGGUAAGUGGAAUGCCUAGUGUAGCGGUGAAAUGCGUAGAGAUUAGGAGGAACACCAGUGGCGAAGGCGGCUUACUGGACUGUAACUGACGUUGAGGCUCGAAAGCGUGGGGAGCAAACAGGAUUAGAUACCCUGGUAGUC